rnacentral:rRNA from 1 species
AUAUUGCGCAAUGGGCGGAAGCCUGACGCAGCGACGCCGCGUGAGGGAUGACGGCCUUCGGGUUGUAAACCUCUUUCAGCAGGGACGAAGCGUGAGUGACGGUACCUGCAGAAGAAGCACCGGCCAACUACGUGCCAGCAGCCGCGGUAAUACGUAGGGUGCAAGCGUUGUCCGGAAUUAUUGGGCGUAAAGAGCUCGUAGGCGGUUUGUCGCGUCGGCUGUGAAAGCCCGGAGCUCAACUCCGGGUCUGCAGUCGAUACGGGCAGACUUGAGUGUUGCAGGGGAGACUGGAAUUCCUGGUGUAGCGGUGAAAUGCGCAGAUAUCAGGAGGAACACCGGUGGCGAAGGCGGGUCUCUGGGCAACAACUGACGCUGAGGAGCGAAAGCGUGGGGAGCGAACAG